CCUACGGGAGGCAGCAGUGGGGAAUUUUGGACAAUGGGCGCAAGCCUGAUCCAGCAAUGCCGCGUGCAGGAUGAAGGCCUUCGGGUUGUAAACUGCUUUUGUACGGAACGAAACGGUUCGCUUUAAUACAGUGGGCUAAUGACGGUACCGUAAGAAUAAGCACCGGCUAACUACGUGCCAGCAGCCGCGGUAAUACGUAGGGUGCGAGCGUUAAUCGGAAUUACUGGGCGUAAAGCGUGCGCAGGCGGUUUUGUAAGACAGAUGUGAAAUCCCCGGGCUCAACCUGGGACCUGCAUUUGUGACUGCAAGGCUAGAGUACGGUAGAGGGGGAUGGAAUUCCGCGUGUAGCAGUGAAAUGCGUAGAUAUGCGGAGGAACACCGAUGGCGAAGGCAAUCCCCUGGACCUGUACUGACGCUCAUGCACGAAAGCGUGGGGAGCAAACAGGAUUAGAUACCCUGGUAGUCCACGCCCUAAACGAUGUCAACUGGUUGUUGGGUCUUCACUGACUCAGUAACGAAGCUAACGCGUGAAGUUGACCGCCUGGGGAGGUACGGCCGCGAGUAGAACGUACAANAGAGUUAGACGGCGUGAGACGUGCCGACGGACGACGACGAGGGAGGAGG
rnacentral:rRNA from 1 species